AGCUAGCUAGCUCGCUGUUGCCGUGGCCAAGGUUAGCUAGCUAGCUCGCUGUUGCCGUGGCCAAGGUUAGCUAGCUAGCUCGCUGUUGCCGUGGCCAAGGUUAGCUAGCUAGCUCGCUGUUGCCGUGGCCAAGGUUAGCUAGCUAGCUCGCUGUUGCCGUGGCCAAGGUUAGCUAGCUCGUUAAAAGGCAAUACCAUAGUAAUAACUACGACGUUACAAAACGGCUGAUUUAAGCAGUCUAGCUAACGUUAGCUAUUCACUCAAGUCACCACAACUGUUUGCUGAUGUACCAUUUCUUCACAGCUAUGGCUUUUCAGUUAUCGGUUUGAUUUUAGAUGUUAGCGGGCUAACAAGGUCGUAAAAUUACCACGUUUCAACAACGGAUACAGAAUCAGGCAAAACGUUCCUUUAGAUAAAAUGUAAAAAUAAAAAAAAACGAACCAAUGCAAUGUUCACAAUUCAAGAAAUUGACUACAAGUUAAACUACUAAAACGUAUUUAAUCAAUGUUACCUGUUCAAAUAAACUAUAUUCCUUACAGGUGUUCAACUUCAGAGCUUUUAGUCUUCAGUUCCGAUCAGCUUUCUCCUCGCCGGUAGCCGACUCACUGGAUCUAAUAGUAUUGAGAGCGAGUUCCUUUUUCUUCCCUCCAGAUUUUAUUACGUCAUCCAGACUGGCCAGUCACAUGCUUCUAGCGUCAUUAUGACGAACACGGCUGUUUUGCAUUCAAGCCCUAGAUGGAGUUGAGAACAUGAUGUAGGCCUACUACACAAAUGGAAAUAGCAUACUACACAACAUUUCAGUGGAAAUGCCGUUGUUUGUAUUCACACUAC
rnacentral:lncRNA from 1 species